GCGCUGGCGAAUAAUUUUGAAAGCUUCUUUUGUUGCAUAAGGUAGCCCUGUCUCUGGAUCACGAUACUUGGCAGGCAAACCUGUUACAGCACACACGGCCUUCUCUGGAUAUGGAACAGAUGCAGUUGAAAUCUCUGACUGAAAUGAUACUCCUCUGAAUUCUAGAUAUGACAAACCAUCUUUAGAGAAAUAUCGUAUCUGUGGGCCGCUGUAGACAGCUUUAUGCACAAUUGCUCUUUUCUUAACUUCUUCUUCCCUUGCCAAAACACGCUCUAAAUUCCUCAAAUUCAUGA
rnacentral:misc_RNA from 1 species